UGCAAGUCGACGGAAAGGCCCCGCUCGCGGGGUACUCGAGUGGCGAACGGGUGAGUAACACGUGGGUGAUCUGCCCUGCACUUCGGGAUAAGCCUGGGAAACUGGGUCUAAUACCGGAUAUGACCUCCCUUUAGUGUGGGGGGUGGAAAGAUUUAUCGGUGCAGGAUGAGCCCGCGGCCUAUCAGCUUGUUGGUGGGGUAAUGGCCUACCAAGGCGUCGACGGGUAGCCGGCCUGAGAGGGUGGACGGCCACAUUGGGACUGAGAUACGGCCCAGACUCCUACGGGAGGCAGCAGUGGGGAAUAUUGCACAAUGGGCGGAAGCCUGAUGCAGCGACGCCGGCGUGGGGAAUGACGGCCUUCGGGUUGGUAAACGCUCUUUUCAACGGGAACGAAGUGAAAAUGACGGUACCUGUAUAAGAAGCACCGGCUAAC
rnacentral:rRNA from 1 species